rnacentral:misc_RNA from 1 species
GUGAAUCAUCGAAUUUUUGAACGCAAAUUGCACUCUCUUCGGAGAGUAUGCCUGUUUGAGGGUCAGUAUUAACAAAAAAAUCGGUUUGGUUGCAAAUUGUGAUGUUUUCGGAGUUUGGGCUUAUCUUAACUUUUUUGGUUAAGGGGCUUAAAAUUGACUUUUUUUGUGCAUUUUUAGACGUACGUAAAUUUUUUUUUAUUUGUCUAUUCUUAAUGCUAAAAUCUUAUUAGAUGCGAUCAAAUCGUGUGG